rnacentral:lncRNA from 1 species
AUGCCCAGGCGGGACCCCGCAGUGCCCCGGUCUGGCUUGGACCUUAGCAUUGGGAAGCUGAAUCGUCACUGUCCUCUACUCUCCCGAGACCCACUGAAAAUGAACAUAUCUGAGCACUUGAAAUCAUGUAGCUUUCUUCUUACUUGUGCAAGAAUUACCUGCAUGGAUCCUACAUUAUGGAAAAUCUGCAAAGAUGUUCCUUGUAUGUUUUGAAGGUCUUGGAUUCAUGCUUAAGGACUGGUAGGAGUCACUUAGCAAAAAACAUCCCACCAUGAAGCACUUUGAGCUAACUCCAGGAAAUAGUGAAUGCCUGGCAUGCUGCGGUCCAUGGGGUCAUAGAGCUGGUCACGACUGAACAACUGAAAAACAACAAUGAAGCACUUAUAUUCAAGGAAAGUUGCAAAUUUUCCUCAAAUACUGUUGACUUACCAUCUCUUUUCUUCUUCCCCUGUGGGAGUCAGUUUCCAUGUGUGAAGUGUUUUGCUUUAAAUUCUUUUAUGUUUUUCAAUUGCUUGAAUUUUUUUUUCUUUUAGUCAGUGACAUUCAGAUCAUUUCCCUAAUGCUUACCUAAUAUUAAAACACAUUGUUUCAGGUGAUAAAUGUGAGAUUUUGUUCUUAGCCUGUACAAAAUAUUCAAUACAUUUGUGUCAUUCUACUUUAUCAAGGGAGACUGGGUCAUUUUCUCUCUUGGGACCAUAGUGAGAGUCUUCUGCAAACUGCUUAUAGUUCCUCAAGUCAUUGUACAUUACAGUUCCCCCGUUCCUUGUACAUUAUAGUAUUUCCUUCUCAGGAACCCUCUCCUUCUUGUUUACCUGUCCAAUUCCUGCUCAUCCUUCAUGUCUCAGUGCAGGCGUCACCUCCCCGGGGAAGGCCUCCCUGGGAGGGAGAGAGCAGCCUGGCUCCUUCUCACCCCGCUGUCUCCCAUGCUAACACACACCAUCAUCCUGGUCACUUUCCUUAUAAAUAAAGAUGACAGACC